rnacentral:lncRNA from 1 species
UAUGAAUGUGAUGUUUGCAACAAAAGAUUUUCACGGUCACAUGCCUUAACUGUGCAUAAAAGAACACACACUGGAGAGAAACCUUAUGAAUGUGAUGUUUGCAACAAAAGAUUUUUGCAGUCAGGUGACUUAGCUACCCAUAAAAGAACACACACUGGAGACAAACCUUAUGAAUGUGAUGUUUGUGAGAAGAGAUUUUCAUGCUCGACCAACUUAACCAAGCAUAAAAGAACACACACUGGAGACAAACCUUUUGAAUGUGAUGUUUGUAAGAAGAGAUUUUCAUUCUCGGCCAACUUAACCAAGCAUAAAAGAACACACGCUGGAGACAAACCUUAUGAAUGUUAUGUUUGCAAUAAGAGAUUUUCAGAAUCUCACAAAUUAACACGACAUAAAAUAUCAGCACACAAGAGAAAGCCGAGUCUUGAGUGUGCUAAAUGUAAGAAAACAUUCACACUACGUAAGAGUCUCAAACGUCACUGGAGAGUACAUUCGAGAGAUGGCUUAUUAUUCUGCAACAGUUGUGGCAGGGAAAUUAGUCAAUCACAACGACAAGGACAUGCUAGUGAGAUACUGAUUGGCGAUCAUUCUGUCUGCAACAAAUGCGACAAACAGUUCCCUGAUAUUGAAAGUUUAUAUCAGCACAAGGCCAAAGACCAUCAUUCAUCCCACCAAUGUGAUGUUUGUAAGGAAUUAGAAGCAAGAGAAGCAACUGGCAUUGGUUAUAUCUGUUGUGUCUGCGAUGCCGAGUUUAAAAUUGCCACCGAACUCGAAGAUCAUAUGAGUAUGCAUGACAAUAUGCUGCCCCACUAGGCAAGAUAAAUUGAAAAUAAUUUGGGAUUUUGGGUGAUAUGUUGUGUUGAACAGGGCCGUAAGUAGACACGAUAAUUGUGGAGUGUAUGUCAUAUAUUCAUGUUCAUAUACUGUCAAAACAAUCACUUUCAAAAGAAAUCCGUCGGGCAGAACACAAAUAUAUGAAUAUACACCCCCCAGUUAUCGGUCUAGCUACGGCCCUGGGGUUGAAAUUUUUCUUGAAAUUAAUUUGGC